UGGCUGCCCCUGGGCCACUUCCAAUCUCCCCUUCACUGGGUACCUGCCAUCCCAUGGGCUCCUCAGGAUACUGGGCAUAGGGAACUCCCGGCGGCUCCUCCGGCUGUCGGGAAGCUCAGGCGGCUCCUCUGGGUGCCGAACACGGGGCAGGUCGGGCCAGCCCUCCUCCGGGUGCCGAGCACGGGGCAGGCUGGGCCCAGCAGGAGCUUGGGCACCAGCGUCUGUCCUCUCCAGCAGCGUCCUUCCAACUGAGUGCCGGGGCCGUGCUUUUAUACUUCCUGUCCCGCCCCUUGAUUUCCGGGGAAUGGGGACAGGUGGUGGUGGCGCCGCCCCCUGCCACGCCUGUUCUAGCUCGUCCCUCUCAGGCUCCACGGGGAGUGAGGCCUCCUCGCUACACCACACAAACUAGCAAAUAGCUGAGCAGCUGGCAGUGCUGCAAAUUUCUGGACCUGUGACCAGUGCAGACAGUGGGAUAAGCAGCUGAAUAGUGAGUAUUGGAAAACCAGGGACCAGACCCACAUGGUGGGCAACUUGCCGACAUUAUGCCCAUCUGAUGAGGUGUUUGGGUGCUGGGCACUAAACCUAGCAUCAAGCCAACAGUGGUGCAUGAUGACCUGCUUGGCUGGGACAGUGUCCUGCUGAUCCCAGAAUCCAGCAUGGGGAAUGAUGGGAGCCAGCAGCAGGCACCGCGUGGGGACAACAAAAUCACUCUGUUACUGAAAGCAGCCCCAGAGUAGGCUCUGGACCACGGGUCCAGCUGUUUGAUGCCCCUUCCAGGAACAGCCAUCAAUGGAGCAGGCAGAAGAAGGGAUUAGAAGCCACCCCUGAGCCUGGCUCCUCGCUCUCUACUGGCUACAGCACUUGCACGGCAGAAGCCUGGGCCAGCACACCUGCAUGGACUGUUCCAGGAGGAAUUGUUUCCGUGAUGAAGUUCUGGAGAGGGCCAGCAAGCAGGCCCCGUACAAAAGACACAGAGGGACGUGCAGCUGGAGAAAAGGCAGGCUGCAAGGCAAGAGGAAAGGCUCAGGCGGGCUGCACAGCUUGAGGAUGGGGUUUCAGUGCAGGAGCAGUUACUUGCUUCGCAGUUCCCGGAAGGGAGGACAGAGCUCAGCAGAAAGAGCCCUUUGAGUGGCUCAUAUCACUAAUGACUGCAAGAGUGGAGGCUCCUGCUGCAUCAUCCAGACCACAACCUGAGUUCCUUGUGCGCUACCCUGAGCCACAGUCCUGAAGGAGCUUGGAAGACUCCAGGGUUGGGUGGCCCAUGGAGUUAGGCCCCACGAGUGGCUGGCUGGGGCAACCUUGCCCCAUGCAGCCUUUCAUAUUGACCCCUUUCCACAGUGCCAUGUGCACAGGGAAUGAAGGGAGCAGAGAAUAGGGGGCCAGGGCCAUGCCUGGGUAGGGGAUUUCUGGCUUGUCUGUGGUUCCACUGUUUGCACUUGUUCACACACUCUGUUUUUCUGUAGGGUCUGAUGUUACUGGGGUUUAGGUCUGGUAAUGGCAGCUGUCCUGCCUGGCAAUGGGGGAAUGUUGUAAUUCCUUAUGUUUACAAAUAAAAAUGUCUUUAUUUUA